AGAGCACUCUCCUCAGUAUCUUUCUAAGCUUGCUUCUUCUUAUAUUUUCCUUCUCAAUAAGGCAGUCAAGUUCCGGAAGAACCCUCCUGAGUGCAACCCCAAGUAGGUAUUUUUCUAUUAUCUUUCUUAUUUUCUUUCUAGUUACUGAGAAUUUAUUGGAUGGCAUCCUUAUUUAGUUGUAAGUCAUCUUCUAGUAAAGUUGUUGUAGAUAGUGAAGAAUAUAGGGUCAGUGUUGAGAAGAAUUUGCACAAUUGGAACAUCCCAAAAGAGAAAAUCUACAAAACAGGAUUCUUCAAAUCCAACAAGUUAGUGAGAACUGAAAAACAAACAAUGCCACUGUCCACUGGAGAUCAAAUUAUAAGAUUACUUCCACAAGAGCAUUUAUACCGAUUCCAAGACGAGGAUUGUUCCCUCCAUGUAGGGUUGGUUCAACUAGCAGUUGGACCAUUAACAAGGCAAGGUAUUAAUGGAACCUCAGUUGUUUUAUGUCUCCAAGAUAAUAGGCAUAGCAAGUUUGAAGACUCCUUGCUAGGAAAGCUUCAAUUCAGUCUUUGUGAUGGACCCAUAUAUUUUAACUGCUUCCCCAAUUUUUUGGUGUCUCUAAUGGAUCGAAGAGUAUUCGACUGCUUGAAUUUAAGCAUCAAAACAAAUGGCUAUAAUAUGGUACAAGGAUCACUGCCGAUAGCCCUUGAAUUCCGUGUCGUUUACAAGAUAAUGAAAAAAACCCCAGCUGUGCCAAAAGCCUUGGCAGAAUACCCAGGAGGAAGAGUCCUUUUAGAAGAAAAAAUUGGAAGAUCAAAUGCUGUUUUUCCAGCAUCAGUCAAGUGGAGCGAAGUCGAAGAUGCAUAGCAGUGGAUGCUACCAGCUGAAGUCCCUCAACUACUUUACCUCAAAGUGAGCCAGAUAAAUGUAUUUCAUAUCAGUAUGCAUUGCACGGUUAUACGUGUGUUUUGUCGUUAGUUUUCCUGGUGUGUGUAUAUGUAUCUUCAAGAAUGCUUUUCUCCCUUUAUCUCUGUAAAUGUCUCUAUAAGUCUAUAACUAAUGAAGUUUGUCUGUUAUUCCAACUCUUCUCCUCUUAGUUGUUUAUCUUAUCUGAUUUAUGUGUUUGUCAUUGUGAUGGCCAAUCUAUUUGUUUCAUAGUAUGUUCUGUACUGUUUGCAUCAG
rnacentral:lncRNA from 1 species